rnacentral:rRNA from 1 species
CCUACGGGAGGCAGCAGUGGGGAAUAUUGCACAAUGGGCGCAAGCCUGAUGCAGCGACGCCGCGUGAGGGAUGACGGCCUUCGGGUUGUAAACCUCUUUCAGCAGGGACGAAGCGCAAGUGACGGUACCUGCAGAAGAAGCACCGGCCAACUACGUGCCAGCAGCCGCGGUAAUACGUAGGGUGCAAGCGUUGUCCGGAAUUACUGGGCGUAAAGAGCUCGUAGGCGGUUUGUCGCGUCGUCUGUGAAAACCAGCAGCUCAACUGUUGGCUUGCAGGCGAUACGGGCAGACUUGAGUAUUUCAGGGGAGACUGGAAUUCCUGGUGUAGCGGUGAAAUGCGCAGAUAUCAGGAGGAACACCGGUGGCGAAGGCGGGUCUCUGGGAAAUAACUGACGCUGAGGAGCGAAAGCGUGGGUAGCGAACAGGAUUAGAUACCCUGGUAGUCCACGCCGUAAACGGUGGCGCUAGGUGUGGGUUUCCUUCCACGGGAUCCGUGCCGUAGCUAACGCAUUAAGCGCCCCGCCNGGGGAUACGGCCGCAAGGCUAAAACGUCAAAGGAUUGACGGCUGAGACGNGCGAGCGACGACGAGGAGAG